rnacentral:misc_RNA from 1 species
AAGUCGUAACAAGGUUUCCGUAGGUGAACCUGCGGAAGGAUCAUUAACGAGUUUUGAAACGGGUUGUCGCUGGCUUUAAACAAAGCAUGUGCACGCCUGGCUCAUCCACUCUCAAACCCCUGUGCACCUAUUGUAGGCUUGGUUUUUAUUGCAUGGGCCUUUACGGUCUGUGUAUGCGAAGCCUCGUCUAUGCUUUUAUAACAUACGCUUCAGUAAAAGAAUGUAACCUUUGCGUUUAACGCAUUUAAAUACAACUUUCAGCAACGGAUCUCUUGGCUCUC